CGAGCAAAAAAUUCAAAAUUCUAUACCUUCCAGAUACACCGGGAUCCGAAAGCCGGUACCGCCAACAGUGUCGGAUUUCAAAUCCGGAAGCCCCUAUGUGAAGCUUGAGUUGCGGGGAGUCUAAAAAUAGAAAUACUUUUUUCGAAAACUCACCGAAAGCCACCAGAUCGAGGCCGAAAAGUUUCAGCUCUGGCGAGGCUAUAAACUACUGCCGAUGGGGAGCUCGAUUCCGACGUCGGUUUUUGUGAGGAGAGGGUGGUAGGUGGCUGUUUGCACGGCGACAAUGAGAGAGCUUCCUUUCUUCAAGCUCGACGUUGGUAGUAAAGGAGAAAAAAGAGGAAGCGACACCGACGAGGGAAGGGAAGGAGAAGAAAAAAAUUUUGGCAGUUGGAAGGUGGCAACGACAGCGGAAGCCGAAAAGGAAGGGAGGUGAGGGAGGAGAGGAAAGUGAGAGGG
rnacentral:lncRNA from 1 species